ensembl:lncRNA
UGCUUUGGGACACCGGCUCUCAGACAGACGCCUGCUGAGAGACCGCACUGCAAGGGGUCUCUCCGCCCCGGAGUCUGACAGUGCCUGCUUGGCGGACCCUGAGCUUCCUGUGGGGGACGUGCACCCGGUGGUCCUUCCUGUCUGGCUUCUCCCGCCACUCGAAGAGCAGCAUUAAAGAAGCCCGCCUUGCUGGUGCAGACUUCUGCAUCCCGUGGUGCUCAGUUCCAGAUGUGCUACACCACUUUCUCUUCGUGCUGGAGGGACGUGGGGUGCUCCCGGCUGGGGAAAGGAUGGGGACGACUUUGUGAGCUUUAUUUUUCAAUAUAGGGGAUGGGACCCAAGGCCUUCACACACAUCCUAAUCUUUUAAAAGUUUUUAUUUUGAGGCAAGGCCUAAGUCACCCCAUUGCCCAGGGUGGGCUCCAACUUGGUAUUCUCCUGUCUCACCCUCCCUGAGUGCCAUGAUCACAGGUGUGCACCACCACAAGGCUUGGAAUUGCUUUUUGCUUGAGGUGAGAAGAAUCUCUGGGUCCGCAGCUGUCCCUGUGGCUGUCAGAUGUGCGCUGCUACGGGCACCGCAGGCUGUGGAGUAAGAGAGUCCAUGAGCGUGUGACCUGGCUCUGCCUGGGCCGCUCUGCUACCCGGUCCCCAUCACCGCCCUUGGCCCGAGUUCCUGCACCCAGGGGUCUGACCGCACUUGCUGCUCAGUUUGUGGUGGCCACUUGCUGCCCUGCGCACUUGUGCAGAAAAGCGAGUCGGUGUCCGCUGCACACGAGUCCCCAAGUUUCACAGAGGACCAUUCGUCUACAGCACGUGAUUAGCGAGCAGCGAGGCUGGGGGGCGAGGACCCCGGAGGCUUGCAGCGCUGUGGCCACGCUGGGCUGCUCUCCCACUCAGCCCAGGGCCCCUUCACGCGGGGGGCGGGGUGACGCAGGGUGGCCACGGGCGGUGGUCGAGUACCCUCGAAUGGAGCAGUGAGCUCAUGGCCUGGAGAUGGCAGCCGAGGAGGUGAGCUCUGUGACGUGAGCAGCCCUGAGGGCUGAGCGCUCCGCAGGGUCAGGGCCUCACGCAGGGCGCAGGGCACAGGGCGCAGGGCGCAGGGAGCUGUGUGUGACCCAGGAAGCCUCAGGCACAUCGGCCACACCUGCUGAGAGCCGCCCAGGACCUGAGAAGAGUGUGGAUCACAGCAGCCAGGGACACUGCCACCCUGGGUUGGCUGGCGGCUGGAGACCAAGUCCCUGGUGGAGGGCACAGCUGCAUAGGCCCCCUUGCACCCAGAAGGACCGACCAGCCCGGCCGCCUGAGGCUCCCGUCAUCCGCAGGAACCUGAGCCUCACCCAGGGCCCAGGCCACCUCCUCGGUGCCUGGGCACAGCGGCCUUCUGUGAAGCACACGUGGCCCUGUCCUCCGGGCUUUACCACAGCCACAUCUCUGUUGUGGUAAGCAGAGGCCCCGGGAACACAGCAGCCACUGUCUCAAAGGUCAGGACUGCCACUCGCUGUACUUCAUGCGAUGCCCCUGGAGGCUCAGUGGGAAUUUCCCCAAGGUCCUCGGAGGUGCAGUCUGUCCAUCCAGACGGCCC